CAGGCUGCCGUACCGGUGACGUAAUUUCCAUCCUACACCGGAUGUGUGAGUUGGCUCGCCGGGGAUAUCAAGAUGUCUGCCAUAUUUAAUUUCCAGAGUCUGUUGACAGUUAUCUUACUGCUCAUCUGCACCUGCGCGUAUAUUCGAGCUCUCGCUCCCAGCCUGCUGGAUAAGAACAAAACUGGAUUUCUUGGAAUAUUCUGGAAAUGUGCAAGAAUAGGUGAGCGCAAAAGCCCUUACGUGGCAUUUUGCUGUAUCAUCAUGGCCUUCACAAUUUUAUUUUCGGAGUAGCAGAUGAAGUAUUUGAGGAUUUGGAGCAGGCAGAGAUGAUUUCCAAGAACAGCUACAAGAUUCUACAGCAGGGAACAAGAUGUGUGAUCGGGCGACAUUCAGACUCUCUUAGGCAGAACUGUGCUUCUGUUAAUGCAUGUGGAAGCAACUACAGCCUGAGUGUUUCUCAGCCUCCCGGACCUAUUUUUGUAAAUACAAAUUGUUAUUGGUCUCCAUGGUAAUGCUCCAGUUGUCAUUGACUCGUGCACCCAAAGCUGUUCUAAUGUAACAUGUUUGAUGUUGGAGCCAAAAUGCUUGUCGCUGACAGUUUUAUAAUGGGACAUUGAGGAUAAAUCUGAUGCACACAGAUAGAUGUGCUUGAUAUCGUGAUAUUGUUAAAUUGUUCAAUUGAAUCUGUUAACUUUGUUUUACAUGGAGAUGUGGCGAAGUUUGCAUUAAAAGAUGAAUUUAUUACAGAAA